CCCUUAGAUGUUCUGGGCCGCACGCGCGCUACACUGAUGCAUUCAACGAGUCUAAAACCUGCUCUGAUAGGGGUGGGUAAUCUUUUGAAUGUGCAUCGUGAUUGGGAUAGAUGAUUGCAAUUUUUCAUCUUCGACGAGGAAUGCCUAGUAAACGCAAGUCAUCAGCUUGCAUUGAUUACGUCCCUGCCCUUUGUACACACCGCCCGUCGCUCCUACCGAUUGAAUGAUCCGAUGAAUAUCAUGGAUUGAGGAUGCAAGUAGGUUAGCCUAUCUUCAUCUUCGAGAAGUGAAGUAAAUCUUAUCAUUUAGAGGAAGGAGAAGUCGUAACA
rnacentral:rRNA from 1 species